GAACAGAUGUAGCGAACAAGAUUUACAACGCUUGUCUUUUCGGGAGUGUGUUUGAUUUCUGUAUUAUCAAUUGUAACAAAUUGACAUAAUGAAUACCAUCACACUUUACGGUUUAUUGAAAUAUGUUUUAAAACUGCUAUUUUAUAUGAGUUUAGGUUUAGAAUCUAAAAUCUCUAUACUGACGAGAUAAUUUAUGCAUACACUGAACCGUCAGUCCAUAAGAUAAAUCACUGUUAUCACAGAAUAUAUUAGUUUGUCAUCAGAUGUACAUAAACAUGUGUAAAAGAGAAACACAAUUUAAGUUUUGAACAUAGUAUACGCAGUUUUUGACGGAACAUUGAUCCAUUCCAACUAUUUAAUGUUUAUCUAAUUAAUGUCAUUUUUUCAGCGACAGAAAACUGUAUUUUACCAAAUAUAAUCCCAUUUCAGGGAUUGACAAAUGGCACUCCACUGCGAGGUAUCCGGAGAAAAGCUGGGAUUAACUGGUGCAUACCUUCUACAUAUUUUUUAGAAGAUACAGAGCUGCGAAAACAAGUAAAUGAUGAAACUAGAUCUCGUCAAAUUGAUGACCUAUGCAACGAGAUUGUGGAGGAGUUAAACACAAGUAGGUACAGAACAAGAUAUAUUUUGUACAGUGCCUCAUUUUGGGGUCGUUUGUGGUGUUUUCUUGUGUUGGGAGCUCCUGCGCUGACCGUGUUGCCUCUCCUGAUUGUUCUCAUCAAAGAGGGAGAAAUAACAGAGCAAACACUGGCAGGCGUCUGCUCUACACUAGUUGUCGUACCUAUAGUUGCAGUAUCUAUCUUCCUUUGCUGUUGUUUUGGCAAAAAUAUGAUUAAGAAAGAAAACUGCUGGAGAAAAUUACGUGGAAGCACUUGAGUAAUAGUUACCAAACACUGAUGGUUCUUCCUCUUGUCCGAUCCACUGAAGAGAUUGUCUUCAUUAACUACGACACAGAUCCCUGUAAAAAGUUUUGCGUUUGUGUCCUAAAGCGCAAGAUUGAAGAUGAGGAAGAGAUUCAGAAAAAGGCGGAUUCUAUGAUUUUGGAAUUCAUUUUCAAACAUCGAUUCGAUUUGGCGCACUGGCAUGGUCUAGAGGACUUCAAGUAUAAUCGUCACAACACUUAUUUCCAGAAAAAAUGUAUCUGUCAGUACCUUGAGCCCAGUCUUGUUUCUGAUUCUCUCUUAUAAAGAUGACUUGUAAAAGUUUGCAAUUUUUUAAAGAACUUUUGAUCCUUUAUCAAAACUAUUAUAUGCUUUAGUAUUCAUAGACAGAGGAAAUAAAUUAUCCACAUUUU
rnacentral:misc_RNA from 1 species